rfam:Ruminococcus sp. CAG:108 genomic scaffold, scf209
CACAGAGUAGAAAUUUGUGCGUGAAGUGUUUUGCGGACGGGGAGUUGCCGCAAGAACGAAAGGUUUAUCCUGCGGUACAGAUUUCGCAUCCCGCUGUU